AUUGAACGCUGGCGGCGGGCCUAACACAUGCAAGUCGAGCGAGCGGCGGACGGGUGAGUAAUGUAUGGAGACUGCCCGAUAGAGGGGGCUAACUACUGGAAACAGUGGCUAAUCCCGCAUCCUGUCGGAUGACCCAUAUGGGAUUAGCUAGUAGGUAGGGUAAUGGCUUAACUAGGCGACGAUCGCUAGCUGGUCUGAGAGGAUGAUCAGCUACACGGUGACGGAGAAAGGGCCCAGACCCUAAGGGAGGAAGCAGUGGGGAAUAUUGCACAAUGGGGGCAAGCCGGAUGUAGCCAUGCCGCGUGUAUGCAGAAGGCCCUAGGGUUGUAAAGUACUUUCAGUCGGGAGGCGUGACCGACAGAAGAAGCACCGGCCAACUCCGUGCCAGCAGCCGCGGUAAUAC
rnacentral:rRNA from 1 species